CCAUCGACACAUUCGAUCAUUCAAUAAGAUGCGGGCUGCUGCGAUGCUGGGUCUUUAAGUGCACAGAGAGCUAUACAAAAUUUCAGCAAGUAGAUGGAGAUGCAUGUACUCAGUUUAUUUUUUAAAAAUAAAAAAUGAAAUGAAAUACAAAUUUUCAACACGAGAAUCAAACUCAUAUCUGUGGGUGGUUGAAGGAAGCUCUGUCGUGGAUUGCUCGUUCUUUUUUAAUCAAACAUCUAUCGUCUGUAUGAUCUCUCCUUCUCUUUUUUGCUUUUGUUACUCUCUUGUAACACUUCAAAUCUGCGACACUAAUAUGAUCGUAUUGCGUUGCAAGUGCAGUGAAAGUCUUACUAAACCUAAGUACUCGUGCGAUAGUGAGGAGCCUAACACGACAAGCGCCACUGUCCCUGCAUUUGACAGGCUUACAGUAAAACAAGCGCCGUUCAAUAUUUGACAUUAACUGGCAUGGUUCCUCGCCCUCAAUAUGUGUACCGCUAGGUUUUUAAACAGCGUAGCAGACAAUCUACCCCUUCCUUUCAGAGUGAAAUAAAAAAGACCCGAGACGUGUCCCAGGCACUGACAAACGGAUUCGACGGCUGCGGGGACGGAUCUACCGAGCUCAGUGUAUUGAAGGCCUACUGACAUCUAUGGGGAGAAAACGACUGUAAACCUGUGCACUGUGCUGUGCUGCAUCUAGUUUUACAGCUGCAACUGACCAGAUUGAGAACUUUAUCGGGAGCUGACAACUGAGCAUUUACCAUCUCGGCUGCCAUACAUACUCAACAGGAUCCAGCUCAGGAGGAGAUGGCUCCCCUGCCACUUGCCACAGCACAGCCUGAAAGUGUGCUCGUUUGAUGAGGGCCAGAAAACUUGUCAUCGUCGGAGGAAGGCUACUUACAUUCGGGGGAAUGUGUCUCUUUCCAGCAAACGUCUUCCCAAAAAUGUUGACUCAAACUGUUUUCAGAUUGGCUCCAGACUCAUCCCCAUAGAGCAGAUUAGUGAAGUGGAGGCAUGACUCAGAGAUUUCCAGGAAUGGAACAGACAUCUUCCCAAGCACCAGUUCCAUGAUGAAUACUUCAAGCUUCUUGAGUACUAUCAUCUUUACAAUUCUAGAAAAGGAAGAAGCUGUGUCACAACCACUCAGGACAUGAGCUGCCAGCAGAUUAGGCAUUAUGGUUACAAGCUGUCUGAUAACGUCGUUGACACUUAUGACAUUAUGUGUGGAUGUGCACGACUCAAUGGACAGGGUCAUAUUUUAUGACAUUCCUUUGGUGCUCAUGUAGAGAUGAUGGGCCAUGAUAACGAGAACAUCGCUGUCAUCAGAAAUGACCCUGAUGUCCCUCUGUCCUAAUGGCAAUUCGUUGAUGACACCAGCUUCUUCACGAUACAGAGUGUGUUGUUGAAGCUCAGACCCCAUGUGUAUAGGGUGUGGAUCUGGUUUAGUGAUGACAACAUCUGCUCCUAUUGGAGGUAGCAUACUGCAAAGACGAUGUACAACAAUUUGUAUCAGUUGUUCCUUGUUAGUUGUGACUUUCAGCACGACUCUUUGCUGUGGCAAAGGCUACUCUUCAGUCAGGUUGUACACACGACUUGUCCCCUUCUGGCGGGCAUUUGUACAGUAAUACUUUGUGCUCAGUCUGAAGUAGCUGUCGACGACCAUAUGUGCCACUAGUGCUGACUGAACUCGUCGCAAAAUGGUGACAACUGCGGUAGUGAUGAAAGCCGACAUUUGUCUUUCCCUCCAAGUUCAAUACUGUAUAGCGUUCAUGGACUUCCACACUAUUCCACAGGCGUGACUUGUUUGAUCGAAUCUCGUCAACCAGUAUUAUACUGAGGGCAUUGCCAUGCGUUGUAGGUGAGCUAGUUGAUCGCAUUGAACUUCUUGUGUAGAACCGGGAGUAGCAGUCUCUGUGAUAGCUAGAGUUUGAGGCAAGCAAAUCACUGACUGCUGAUGACACACGGAAGCUGACAUCCGUCCCCCAUUUGCCCCCAUGUUCCAAGGCACGUUUUUGUAUUUCUUCUUUGGUGAUCUUCAUCCCUUUCUCCUCUACAAUUCGGCAUAAGUAGGCUUGUUUCCAAUGAUCAGGGUGUUUUUAUGGGGUAUCAAUGAGCAUGCUUCUCCACAGAAAAAACCCCCAAUAUUCACGAAAAUUAAACGAACUAGUACUGCC